CAGCCUGGCAGGAGGGAGCAGAGCUCAGGUUGGGCUCUCCCAGCUCCAGAGCAUGUGGCCAAAGGCAUAUGAUAAAGCCAAAUGGGUGAUUUUUUCAUGGAGACUAAUCGAGCCCAUUAGCCAACAGCCCAUAACUGGUUUACAGAGACUAACACUGCAAUUCUCUGCCCAAGGCAUGGCUCCUGGAGUGUCUGCAGGAGAGAUCAGGCUCCAGGGGAAACGCGGAGCCGCAGAAGCGCCGGGCUGCAGCUGGAGCAAACAUCACAAACAUCUCACCGUGUUCAAACAGCCCUGCUGCCUUCAGCUGGCCAGCCUGACCCAGGAGGAACCUGCUGCUGCUGCGGGAGGAUUGCACCUCCAGCUGCCCAAACAGCCACGGGAUUAACACCUCAUGGCCAGGACGCUGUUUGUGAAAAACAGCUUAUUUAGAUUCUCUGUAACACAUGAUGAGAGGACAAAGCACUCUGCAGUACAGGGACAAACCUUGUUUAAAAUGUAUUCCUGGGUAUUGGAUGGAAUGGAAAACAUGAACUGGUUUAACUGGCAUUUGGUAUUUUCUAGGGUGCUUGGUUUGUUUGUUUUCCAUGUGGAUUACAUUUUCUUUGAGACACUUCCAUCUAGACUGGUUGAUGAAGAUCUCAUGGAGGUUCACAGCUUUUCCAAGGUUGCUGUCUCUGGCUAUCCAGACUACAUUGGAAGGUUUCCAAGGCAAAAAUGUCAAAGUUAAGCUCAGCAUUAAGCUUUCAUUUCUGGUAUUUUAUAUUUGGGUUCAUCAGGAUUUAGCCAGGAGUCUCAGGAUCCCAUAGGGCUCAAUAUGAUCUUGCUAACCAAAUACUCAUCAGUGUUCUAUUCCUACACAUCCUCCAUGAUCCCAUGAUUUGUCUUUGCUUCUGUCUUUCUACAGCUUCUGUGGAUCUUUAGAGAAAGCUCUUUGCCGAGCUUAGUUUAACAAAAACAAAUAUUACAUGCAAUUUGUUCUGGAUAGAAAUGUGCCCCGAUUCCAACUCCAGGAAGAUUUUAUCUAGACUUUCUCUUUUUCACUUUUUCCUUUGAGAAGAAGGAGAUUGUUCCUGGGAAGAGCUGGAUAAUGAAACCAGAGACUGCACACUUUGGAGGAGCCGGUGGGGGGAACCUGAAGGGGUUGGAGUGGUGGAGC